ACCGCGAGCCGAGCCGGGCAGAGUGAGCAUGGCCGUGGCCGUGGCCCGGGCCGCGCUGCUGCCCCUGGUCCUGCAGCUCGCGAGCCUGGCGCGCGCCGCCGCGGGAGGGGAGGUUGUCUCCAGGGAACGCUCUGGGCUUGCUGGCAUCCAUGACUACAGGCAGCCAACACCCACCCACUCCCUGGUCCCUGCUGGGCAGCCCCUGGAGGAGCGGCUGGGGCAGCUAGAGGCUGAGGUGCUGGAGCUCAGAGAGCAGAACAGGGACCUGCAGGAGAGGGUGAGGCGGCUAGAGUCCUGUGAGUGCCACCUGGCCUCUCCCCAGUGCUGGGGACUGGGGCGCACCUGGCCUGAGGGGGCGCGCUGGGAGCUGGACGCCUGCACGGCCUGCAUCUGCCAGGAUGGGGCUGCACACUGUGGUCCCCAGCCCGACCUGCCCCAUUGCCGUGGCUGCAGCCGCAAUGGUCAGGCCUACAGCAAUGGGGAGACCUUCUCCCCAGAUGCCUGCACCAUCUGCCACUGCCAGGAAGGAGCCAUAACCUGUACCCAGAAGCCGUGCCCAAGAGGACCUUGCCCUGAGCCAGGAGCUUGCUGCCCACACUGUGAACCAGGCUGCCCUGAGGGCCACAGGGCUGGGGAAACAUGGCAUCCGGAGUCCUGCGUCACCUGCACCUGUCAGGCAGGGACCGUGCGGUGCCAGGGGCCCUCGUGCUCUGAGCUCAACUGCCUGGAGAGCUACACCCCACCUGGGGAGUGCUGCCCUGUCUGCCGGCCAGGCUGUGAGUAUGAGGGACAGCUGUAUGAGGAGGGGGCCAGCUUCCUGCCCAACUCCAAUCCUUGUCUCCAGUGCUCCUGCCUGAGGAGCCUGGUUCGUUGUGUGCCCCUGACGUGCCCACCCAGCCCCUGCCCUGAGCCAGUCUUGAAGCCUGGGCACUGCUGCCCGACCUGCCAAGCCCCAGGCUGCACAGAAGGUGGCUCUCUCAGGGACCAUGGCCAAGAGUGGACUGCACCUGGGGACCCCUGCCGGAUCUGCCAGUGCCUUGAGGGCCACAUCCAGUGCCGCCAGCGAGAAUGUGCAAGCCUGUGCCCGUACCCUGCCCGGCCCCUCCCAGGCACCUGCUGCCCCGUGUGUGAUGGCUGUUUCCUAAAUGGGCGGGAGCACCGCAGCGGGGAGCCAGUGGGCUCCAGGGACCCCUGCUUGCAAUGUCACUGCGCUAAUGGGAGUGUCCAGUGUGAGCCUCGGCCCUGCCCGCCUGUGCCCUGCAGACACCCAGGCAGGACCCCUGGGCAGUGCUGCCCAGUCUGUGACAGCUGUGAGUACCAGGGACACCAGUAUCAGAACCAGGAGACUUUCAGGCUCCAAGAGGGUGGCCGCUGUGUCCGCUGCUCCUGCCAGGCUGGUGAGGUGUCCUGUGAGGAGCAGGAGUGCCCGGUUGCUCCCUGUGGCCCGCCUGCCUCUGGCCCCCAGCUCUGCCCAGCCUGUGUGCUUGAUGGAGAAGAGUUCGCUGAGGGGGUCCAGUGGGUGCCUGAUGGUCAGCCCUGCACUUCCUGCUCCUGCCAAGAUGGCGUGCCUGUGUGUGGGGCUGUGCUCUGUCCCCCAGCCCCCUGCCAGCACCCCACCCAGCCCCCUGGUACCUGCUGCCCCAGCUGUGAGAGCUGCACCUACCAUGGCCAAGUGUAUGCCAAUGGGCUGAACUUCACGGACGCAGACAGCCCUUGCCAUGCCUGCCGCUGUGAGGAUGGGACUGUGAGGUGCUCUUUGGUCGACUGCCCUCCCGUGACCUGUGCCAGGCCCCAGAGUGGACCCGGCCAGUGCUGCCCCAGGUGUCCAGACUGCAUCCUGGAGAGACAGGUGUUUGUGGAUGGCGAGAGCUUCUCCCACCCUGGAGACCCCUGCCAGGAGUGCCAGUGUCAGGAAGGCCAGGCCCUCUGUCAGCCUCGAGCCUGCCCCAGGGCCCCCUGUGCCCAUCCGCUGCCUGGUACCUGCUGCCAGAACAACUGCAGUGGCUGCGCCUUCGGCGGGAAGGAGUACCCCAACGGAGCAGAGUUUCCCCACCCCUCUGACCCCUGCCGUCAGUGUCACUGUCUGGGCGGCAACGUGCAGUGCCUGGCCCGCCGCUGCCCGCCGCUGCCCUGUCCAGAGCCGGUCCUGCCGCCGGGAGACUGCUGCCCGCAGUGCCCGGCCGCUCCCGCCGGCUGCCUGUGGCCCGGGAUCGCCGUCCCUGCCCGCCACCAGGAACACUUCUCCCCGCCCGGCCACCCCUGCCGCCGCUGCCUCUGCCUCGACGGCUCGGUGUCCUGCCAACGUCUACCUUGCCCGCCGGCGCUCUGCGCCCAUCCGCGCCAGGGAUCCUGUUGCCCGUCUUGCGAUGGCUGCCUGUACCAGGGGAAGGAGUUUGCCAGCGGGGAGCGCUUCCCGUCACCCAGCGUUGCUUGCCACGUGUGCCUUUGCUGGGAGGGCAGCGUCAGUUGCGAGCCCAGGGUUUGUGCCCCUGCGCAGUGCCCCUUCCCUGCCAGGGGCGACUGCUGCCCUGCCUGUGACGGCUGUGAGUACCUGGGGGAGUCCUACCUGAGCCACCAGGAGUUCCCGGAUCCUCGAGAGCCCUGCAACCUGUGCACCUGCCUGGGAGGCUUUGUGACCUGCAGCCGCCGGCCCUGUGAGCCUCUGGGCUGCAGCCACCCACUCACUCUGCCGGGGCACUGCUGCCCGACCUGUCGGGGAUGCUUUUACCAUGGGGUCACUGCUGCCCUCGGAGAGACCCUUCCUGACCCACUUGACCCCACCUGCUCCCUCUGCACCUGCCAGAAGUGGCAGUGUGGCCUCUCCCAGGACGGUUCCAUGCGCUGUAAGAAGAAGCCAUGUCCCCCAGUUGUCUGCACACACCCCUCUCCAGGACCCUGCUCCUGCCCUGUUUGCCAUAGCUGCCUCUCUCAAGGCCGGGAGCACCAGGACGGGGAGGAGUUUGAGGGGUCCUCGGGCAGCUGUGAGCGGUGUCGCUGUCAGGCUGGCCAGGUCAGCUGUGUGCGGCUGCGGUGCCCACCCCUGCCCUGCCGGCUGCAGGUCACAGAGCCAGGGAGCUGCUGCCCUCGCUGCAGAGGCUGCCUGGCCCAUGGGGAGGAGCACCCUGAGGGCAGUAGCUGGGUGCCCCCCGACAGUCCCUGCUCCUCCUGCGUGUGUCACGAGGGAGUCGUCACCUGUGCUGGUGUCCAGUGUGUCAGCUCCUGCGCCCAGCCCCACCAGGGCCCCACUGACUGCUGCCCUCGUUGCUCUGACUGUGUGCAUGACGGUCGGAAGUACGCGCCUGGGGAGCGCUUCCAGCCGGGGGCGGACCCCUGUGAAGUGUGCAUCUGUGAGUCACAGCCUGAGGGGCCUCCCAGCCUUCACUGUCGCCGGCAACAGUGUCCCAGCCUGAUGGGCUGCCCACUCAGCCAGCUUCUGCCCCCUGACCCCCAGCACUGCUGCCCCACCUGUGCCCAGGCUCUGAGUAACUGCACAGAGGGCCUGCUGGGGUCUGAACUGGCUCCCCCAGACCCCUGCUACACCUGCAAGUGCCAGGACCUGACAUGGCUGUGCACUCGCCGGGACUGCCCUCAGCUCAGCUGUCCCUUGUUGGAGCAUUAUAUUCCCCCUGGGAGUUGCUGCCCCGUGUGCCAGGAAUGUGUGGUAGAGGCCAGUGGCCGGAGAGUGUCAGAUGGAGAGAGCUGGCGGGACCCCAGCAACGCCUGCAUUGCUUGCACCUGCCAACGGGGCCACGUGGAAUGCCACCUCGAGGGAUGCCAGGCCCUUUCCUGUCCCCAUGGCUGGCUGAAGGUGCCCAAGCCUGGCAGCUGCUGUGAGCAAUGCCAAGCUCCCACCCAGUCGUGUGUGCACCAGGGCCGUCAGGUGGCCGUCGGGGAGCACUGGGCCGUGGACGCUUGCACCAGCUGCUCUUGCGUGGCCGGCACGGUGCGCUGCCAGAGCCAGCGCUGUCCGCGGCUCUCUUGUGGCCAGGACGAGGCUCCUGCCCUGAGUCCCGGCAGCUGCUGCCCUCGCUGCCUGCCUCGGCCCGCUUCCUGCAUGGCCUUCGGAGACCCCCACUACCGCACCUUCGACGGCCGCCUGCUGCACUUCCAGGGCAGCUGCAGCUAUGUGCUGGCCAAGGACUGCCAUGGCGGGGACUUUAGUGUGCAUGUGACCAAUGAUGACCGGGGCCGGAGAGGUGUGGCCUGGACCCAAGAGGUGGCAGUGCUGUUGGGAGAUGUGGCUGUGCAGCUGCUGCAAGGCAAGACAGUCACGGUGGAUGGCCACCCAGUGGCCUUGCCCUUCCUGCAGGAACCCCUGCUGUACGUGGAGCUGCGGGGGCGUACUGUGAUUCUGCACACCCAGCCUGGGCUCAAGGUGCUGUGGGAUGGGCAGUCCCAGGUGGAGGUGAGCGUGCCAGGUUCCUACCGGGGCCAGACUUGUGGGCUUUGCGGGAACUUCAAUGGCUUUGCCCAGGAUGAUCUGCAGGGCCCUGACAGGCUGCUCCUGCCUACAGAGGCUGCUUUUGGGAAUAGCUGGCAGGUUCCAGAAGGGCCAGGGCCUGCUCGGCCCUGUUCUGCUGGCCGGGAGGUGGAUCCAUGCCGGGCAGCAGGUUACCGUGCCAGGCGCGAGGCCAGUGCCCGGUGCGGGCUGCUGAAGUCCUCCCCGUUCCAUCGCUGCCACGCUGUGGUGCCUCCGGAGCCCUUCUUUGCUGCCUGUGUGUAUGACCUUUGUGCUUGUGGCCCUGGCUCCUCAGCUGACGCCUGCCUCUGUGAUGCCUUGGAAGCCUAUGCCAGCCAUUGUCGCCAGGCAGGGGUGACACCUGCCUGGCGGGGCCCCACACUCUGUGUGGUAGGCUGCCCCCUGGACCGUGGCUUUGUGUUCGAUGAGUGUGGUCCACCCUGUCCCCGCACCUGCUUCAAUCAGCAUGUUCCCCUUGGAGACCUGGAAGCCCACUGCGUGAGGCCCUGUGUUCCUGGCUGCCAGUGCCCUGCAGGCCUGGUGGAGCACGAGGCCCACUGUAUCCCGCCUGAGGCCUGCCCCCCAGUCCUGCUCACCCGGGACCAGCCACCAGUCAGGGGCAGCUCCUCUCUCCACCCUGAGCCAGGAAGAUGAUGACCAGGACUCAUCAGACCAGAAGGUUCCCCUUGGCGAGCAGCAGCUGCCCUUGCCAGAGCUGUGGAGGCAGUGCCCUGUUCAAGCAUGGGGAGCCUGAGCCAGCGUCCUGCCGAGCCCCCGGUGGUGUUGAAACACAAACAGUCCCUUCUGGGCCACUCUAAGAACUGACAGCACAGGGACUCCAUGUCUGAGGAGAAGAAGAGAGCACAGGCUGUG